GUAAAUGUCAAUGCGCGGCAAUUCUUCUUACUAAACAUAAGAAUAGGAAGGAUCCUCAAAGACUAAAGUGGAGCUCUCUAAUGCCCAACUAUGGAAACUCAGAAGUCAAGAGGAGCAUUUAAAAAAAAUUAUUGCAUUCGGUUCAUGAGAGAUUUGUUAAUGUACCUGAAAAUGCAGAGGAUGGUACAAUAGUGCCUUUGACUGUCCUCCACAUACCUGCAUUAGCUGGUCUAAGUAAGGCCCUGUUGCUUCUGCGUGUAUAUGGAGAUCAUGGUGUUGACCUCAAGUGCUGAGAAGAGACUGCUGCUGGAGGACGGCUGGGCUCUGGCCUACUGCCACAGCAGGCACCUUUUCUGGAUGCUUGGCACUAUGCAAGAUCCAUCCCUACCGCUUACUAUAUAGGAGAGUUACCCCCUUAUAAGCCCAGAAAACAGGGACAACAUUGCCUCCUACUGUCCCUGUCUCAACAUUAGUACAUAACACAGGUAAAUCACUCAAACGUCACAUACACUAUGUGUGUUAUAAUUCAGGGGCUAAAUAACAAUUGUUUUUUCUUCCAGCUUUACCCAUCUAUGAUGAUCACAGCAUACUCGGAGGACCGGAGAGUUCCUUUAUCAGGGGUGCUGAAGUAUGUGGAAAGACUGAGGAAGGCCAUACAAACAUAUACCAAUUGUGUCAGUGUUAAUGAUGAGUGUAGAUUAGCCACACUUAGCUUCAUUUGUUAUCUUCACUUUAGUUGAACAUGAAAAAUAAGGGCUAUUUUAUGAGAGCAGUAAGUCAUGAGAAGUGUACAACACAAAGCAGAAUGCAUAAAUUCACUUUAAUGUGCACAACUUCGAGAGCCUUAUUAGUUUUUUAAUAUUAAACGGGAUCUGCCAUUUGGUAAAAUGAUUUGAACAGACCAAAAAGACGGCCUGCUCUCACAUAAAAAUACCUCGGGAGUCGGGACCUCAUUCCACCCCCUGUACCUCAUCAAUUUUUUUAAGUUAUGACCACAGCUCUUUAUUCCUCAACCUUUCUC